rnacentral:snoRNA from 1 species
CAUCCCUGUGAAGAACGUAAGAUUGAAAUAAAAGUAGUGGCCUGAUCUAAUUGAUGAAAUUAUUAUUCUGAGGGAUA